AGAUACGUUUGUGUUCCUUCUUGACCAGCCUACUAACGUUGGCUAGUCUUUUCUGGCUGUCCGACUUUUACUUUAUCUCCAGCAAAAUGUCCAAACUACAGUUGUUGAAUGUGUUUCUUAACAAGCGACUAACCGCGGCUGCUGUGGAGAUAUAUGUGGAAGUGGAAAAAACUAUAACAGAAUACGAGAACGAAAUUUCCAGUUCGAAGGAGGAGAUCAAGCGUUUACGGCGGCUGCUGGAUUUGGUUUUCAAUCCCGAGAUAAAAUUACAUCGAGCAGAUGACGAUCUUCGACAGAUGGAGGAUGACAGAGAAUGGAGAGGGAGAGAGACGGAGCAGACAGAGGCUGAGGCAGAUAUUCAACUAGCAGCUGAGGCUCGACUCACUAUCUGGGAACCGGUGGUGUACCUGUGUACCUGCAAUUCCAAAUGAAGCCCACUGAAGACAAGUGUCUUUACUGUGCGGAUUGGGACCUGCUUAUGCCAGCCUUGGAAAAUCUAGAAUUGUCCGGCGACGAGUCAAUGUUGUCCCGCAAGCCCACCAUCCUGUGUAACCAGUGACAAUGACUUUUCCGACCCUCAUAAACCCAUCAGUUGUAGAAACCUUUUUUCCAUGUACUGAAAAUAAACUGGAAGAAGAGACCUUGGCCAGAGGGACCUAAUGGCCAGCUGUCGAUUUUAAAACCUACAUCAGCUCUAUCUCCCAGAUGAGGUUUCCCCUGAGCAGCAGCACUGUGAGCAGGAGUGGAGCCCCAGUCUGAAGCAAGAGGGCCCAGAGCCCUCACAGAUUAAAAAGGAACAUGAGGAACUCUGGACCAGUCAGGGGGGAGAGCAGCUUAAAGAGCUAGAGCCUGAUCCCAAAGAGUUCAUAUUCACUCCUUCCUCUGUGGAAAGUCAGGAACCGCCUCAGCCCUCGCAUCUUUUCCAAAUGCAAAUUGUGGGCUCACCCACCACUACAACUAAAGAGAUAAAGAUGAAAAUAUGUCACAUUGGUGAAAACCCUUCUUGUCAUGUUUGUGGUAAAUGUUUUGACUGUAAAUCUGGUCUGGAAAGGCAUAUGAGGGCCCAUACCGGCGAAAAACCUUAUUGCUGCAGUGAAUGUGGCAAAUGCUACAGUCAGAUAGGAAAUCUGACAGUGCAUAUGAGGGGACACACAGGGGAGAGAUCAUACAGAUGCUUUUUGUGUAGAGAAUACUUCAUCACGGCAUCACAAUUAAAAUCACAUAAAACCACGCACGCGCAGGGGAGGAAUAUAAUCCCGGCGACACCCAAAACAAAGUCUUAUUUGUGCGCUGGUAACAGUCGCGAGGCUUGGGAGGGGCCGUAUCAGUGCAAGGAAUGUGGCAAAUCCUUCAGGCAGAAAAGGAACCUGUUACGGCAUAUGAGGAAUCACACCGGAGCAAUUCAUGCAGCAAAUGCUUCAACCGGAGUGGAAUUUUUUUUUAUUACAUGAUUCACACAGAGGAGAACACAUAAGUGUUUUGUGUCCACAUUUAAAUGCUCCAGCAGCAAAUUCAAACAAGUGAAAUCACAUCAGUGCAAAGACUUCAGAAAAUGGUUUAGUGAGAUUGGAUUUGGAACCUUAAAGUAAACGAGAAACACCUUAUUCACCAGAGGGAGGAAGCUUGAACAUGUCAUUUGUUUGGAUCAGUAUGAGUCGACUAAUGGACUUGUAGAACGUCAUCAAAAGGUCACAUUUGUUGUUUUUGGCAAGAUAUUUAGGAUUUGUAAGCGGUUUCCAACUUCUUUAUGAAUAUUAUAUUUUACAUUAAAUAUAGUUUGUAGAGAAAGUUGUACAGCUGUAUUCUAAAAUAUGGUGUGUUUCAAAUUGACCAUUGAAUCUGCCAUUUUAAACCUGGGGAUGAUCACAUUCCCAGUCAAUCUCAAUCUAAAUUGAUCACGACUGUCUGUUUCCUUCCUGCAAACUUUAUUAUCCUCUGUUAGGUUGCGAGGCAGAUGUAUUUACAGAUGCUCUCAAACAUGACCAGCAUGCAAAAGUCUGUCUUUUCUGAGAUACAUUACUGUGUAAAAUUGAAAAACAAAUGUAUGUUUUAAUAAAUAUGUUUUUUUA